rnacentral:lncRNA from 1 species
UUCAAUCAUCCUACCCAAUCAUUACUGCUUUUAUUUUUAUUUUUCAUUUCCUGUUUUUCAAUCUUCCAGUUCUAGAUGCAGAUCUGAGCCUCAAAACUUUCUAAAUUCACAUCAAAUUAAAAUCCGAUUUUCUUCUUUUUAUUAUUUGUUGUUAAGUUCAAAAUACCCAAAUUUGUUUCGAUAUUUACAAAAAGAUCUGGAUUUAUAAUUUCAGAUCUGUGCUAGUUGACUUAUUUUCUGCUCUGUGCUUUGUUGGAUCUACUACAUAUGAGCAUCUAAUCAACAAAGAUCUGAGUUCUGAUUAGAUGUAUACAUGGGGAUCUUUGUGGUAAAAGUACACGACAUGUUCUUGAGUUUCAGAAUACAAAGAGAUAUGUUCGAAUGUCUCUUUUGGUUUGACGGAUACACGUUUUCAAAAUUACUACAAGUUAUGUAGGUUCUUUUGAAAUGCGUUAUGUCCGAUUUGAUAUAGAAAGGCCAUGAAGCAAAAUGCAUCACAUGGAUCAUUAGACAGAUUGCUUUGCCGAAAUGAAUGAAGAUUAAUGCUGGAUGAACUGAAGACAUAAAUGAACUUUCGUAUUAGUAGUUUAAUCUAAAGUUACUUUAAAUCUAUUUAAAAAAUUGUUGUGUGUACGAAUUUUAAUUGUAAAAUGAACAUGAUGUUUGUAAUUAUAAAAAAAAAUGCACGCAUAUAUUACUAUGGUGGUGUAUUGUUAUGGUGGUGUAUUGUUGUUUAUACACAUAGACAUGUGAUGUGUUUGUAUUCAUUUGAAAAGUGACUAUAACAUUGAAUGUUAUAUGAGGCCCCUUAACUUGUUUUUUUCGUGAACCCUUACAAACUCUAUUCUUGCUACAAAAUCGUAAAACUUGACUUGUGAAAUGGGAUAUGGCAACCUAAUAAUUUUGAAAAAUAUAACUAGAAAUUAAUAAAUCAUCACUCAACCAAUUCUAACACUUCAUACGCAUAUAAAGGUAGUGUUUGGUAUGCAGUAAUGUGGGGUGCAAUGGAAUGUGCCAUUAUGAGAGAAUGAAAAAAAGUGUGUUUUGUUGGUCGAUGGAAUG